rnacentral:rRNA from 1 species
AAAUUGAAGAGUUUGAUCAUGGCUCAGAUUGAACGCUGGCGGCAGGCCUAACACAUGCAAGUCGAACGGUAACAGGAAGCAGCUUGCUGCUUCGCUGACGAGUGGCGGACGGGUGAGUAAUGUCUGGGAAACUGCCUGAUGGAGGGGGAUAACUACUGGAAACGGUGGAUAAUACCGCAUAACGUCGCAAGACCAAAGAGGGGGACCUUCGGGCCUCUUGCCAUCAGAUGUGCCCAGAUGGGAUUAGCU